rnacentral:rRNA from 1 species
UACGUAGGGUGCAAGCGUUGUCCGGAAUUAUUGGGCGUAAAGAGCUCGUAGGCGGUUUGUCGCGUCUGCUGUGAAAUCCCGAGGCUCAACCUCGGGUCUGCAGUGGGUACGGGCAGACUAGAGUGCGGUAGGGGAGAUUGGAAUUCCUGGUGUAGCGGUGGAAUGCGCAGAUAUCAGGAGGAACACCGAUGGCGAAGGCAGAUCUCUGGGCCGUAACUGACGCUGAGACGCGAAAGCGUGGGGAGCGAACGGG